GCACAAGUUCUUGGUGGCCUCAAUUCACGGUCUCUUCCUGUUGAUCAGCAGUGGGCAGAGACCACCUCCCUCAUUGCCGCUUUGGGUUUGGACCGCUUUAAACAGUAAAGUGACUGUCGACGGCUCAGUCUACAGGGAGGAGAACAAAAGACAGGGUCAGGGCUGGGCAGACUGGACAGGGUAAGAUUCUGGCUCCCCUCACUUGCUAGUUGGAGGAGUGGGGAGGCGAGUUAUUAGUGCCUUUGGGCCCUGACCUUAUAGCCCUUCGUAGGGUGGUGUGCGAAUGUCCAGUGUCCAGUGCUGAAUGCUGAGGGACCCAGUAAGAGGAGGUGGCUAGAACUGGAGGGACAGUUUCCCAGAAGCCUGGGCUUUGGGAUAGCAGAGCAGCAUAAGCCAGGCUCUAUGGAAUGUUGGGUGAGCUGCUUGAGGAACUCCAAGGCCUGUCCCACAGUCUUCCAGCCUCCGACUCUCCGGCCCUCAGCGAGGUCAGCAGUGAGCUACUUUUGGAUCUGUUGGGAUCCCUGAGCCCGUGGUCCAGGGAGACUCUGAACAGGGAGAUCUGAAGUCCCACUGGUUUUUUUGGUUGGUUUUUUUUUUUUUUUUUAAGGUUUUUUGGUUUUUUUUUUUUUUUCUCAUUCCUGUCUUGGGAGCUUUCCCCAACCAGCAGACUGAUCGAACACACAGGCUUCUCAGCCCACUCCCUCCAGUCAAGGUUAAGGCCUGGCAAAGGUGGAGGAAGAGAAGCUGAGGAGAAAAAGGCGAGGAGAGCCUAGGCACAGGAAGGUGACCGUGAGUAGAGUUGGGUGGUCCAGGGAUGUGGCUGGGAUCCCCUCUUCCUUCUGGAGUUCUCUUAGACAGUAAGGCUGAAGAGAAGCUUGGUACAGGAACUUCGAAGGUUUCUCAAGCUGCAGGUCAUGGCUACCGCUUCCCUCCCUCCCAGUGCUGAUUUCCUGUGGACCAGAUUCCAGCACAGUGGAGGGCCAGAGCUCAGGGAACAGACCCAGCAGCACAGCAAGUCUCCAAGGAAAGCUCUGAAC
rnacentral:lncRNA from 1 species